GGCGCUUGGGCUGCGGCUACACAUGCAGUCGAACGGUAGCACAGAGAGCUUGCUCUCGGGUGACGAGUGGCGGACGGGUGAGUAAUGUCUGGGAAACUGCCUGAUGGAGGGGGAUAACUACUGGAAACGGUAGCUAAUACCGCAUAACGUCGCAAGACCAAAGAGGGGGACCUUCGGGCCUCUUGCCAUCAGAUGUGCCCAGAUGGGAUUAGCUAGUAGGUGGGGUAACGGCUCACCUAGGCGACGAUCCCUAGCUGGUCUGAGAGGAUGACCAGCCACACUGGAACUGAGACACGGUCCAGACUCCUACGGGAGGCAGCAGUGGGGAAUAUUGCUCAGUGGGCGCAAGCCUGAUGUU
rnacentral:rRNA from 1 species